UACGAAGGGGGCUAGCGUUGUUCGGAUUUACUGGGCGUAAAGCGCACGUAGGCGGAUCGUUAAGUCGGGGGUGAAAUCCUGGAGCUCAACUCCAGAACUGCCUUCGAUACUGGCGAUCUUGAGUCCGGAAGAGGUGAGUGGAAUUCCUAGUGUAGAGGUGGAAUUCGUAGAUAUUAGGAAGAACACCAGUGGCGAAGGCGGCUCACUGGACGAUUGUUGACGCUGAGGUGCGAAAGCGUGGGGAGCAAACAGG
rnacentral:rRNA from 1 species